rnacentral:rRNA from 1 species
AUACGGAGGGUGCAAGCGUUACUCGGAAUCACUGGGCGUAAAGCGCGCGCAGGCGGUCUUUUAAGUUGGAUGUGAAAGCCUACGGCUCAACCGUAGAACUGCAUCCAAAACUAUUAGACUAGAGUGUGGGAGAGGAAGAUGGAAUUAGUUGUGUAGGGGUAAAAUCCGUAGAGAUAACUAGGAAUACCAAAAGCGAAGGCAAUCUUCUGGAACACUACUGACGCUGAGGCGCGAAAGCGUGGGGAGCAAACAGAAUUAGAAACCCGUGUAGUCC